ensembl:lncRNA
AAGAGCAGUAAGGAGUGGAGGAAGAGGUGAAGGAAGAGAAAGAGGAGGAGGACGAGGAUGAGGGGCAAGGAGACAAGGAGUCUCAGAUGAAAUUUGUGCCACUAGUUGACCAUGUCCUUGUCCAUGAAAUUUUAACGCGGUCCGAACUGGAUGGAGCGUCCAACAAAAGUGCAGCAGUAUAGCGGGGUUCUGCCGCGGUUGAUAAAGCGCAGGCCUCUGGGUUGCAUAAGAGGAUUGUUCGUGAGCGAUCCAGGGGCCUUCACCGCUCAAGCCUGCCAGCUGGGCCCCGUCUGCGGCUCUCAUCUGUGCGGCUGGCAGCCGUCCGGCUCUGAAGCUCGCAGACCUGCUUUCAGAGCGAGCCAAUGUCACAUUACUGCGCUGUCCAACCGCACUCAUCGAGAUGCCUGCAUCACCGCAUCCCCACACAGCGGAUCCUUGUUUCAUCUGUGAAAAUCAAAGAUGUGCCGUUUGUGAAGCUCGGACUAUAACAUGAGAUAUACUGAAAUAUAUUCUGCAUCUACUGUGUUUUCAGCUGUGUUUGCUUCAGUCUCCCAGAAUCAGUGCUUGUCAGUUAUUCAGUAUUGGUCAAUACAAUGA